rnacentral:rRNA from 1 species
UACGGGGGGGGCAAGCGUUGUUCGGAAUUACUGGGCGUAAAGGGCUCGUAGGCGGCCAACUAAGUCGGAUGUGAAAUCCCCAGGCUCAACCUGGGGAACUGCAUCCGAUACUGGAUGGCUUGAAUUCGGGAGAGGGAUGCAGAAUUCCAGGUGUAGCGGUGAAAUGCGUAGAUAUCGCUUGGAACGCCGACGGCGAAAGCAGUCUGCUGGGGGUGUGCUGACGCUGAGACACGAAAGCCAGGGGAGCGAACGGG